AGCGAACGCUGGCGGCAGGCCUAACACAUGCAAGUCGAACGAAGUCUUCGGACUUAGCGGCGGACGGGUGAGUAACACGUGGGAACGUACCUUUUGGUUCGGAACAACUCAGGGAAACUUGAGCUAAUACCGGAUGAGCCCUUAGGGGGAAAGAUUUAUCGCCGAAAGAGCGGCCCGCGUUAGAUUAGCUAGUUGGUGAGGUAAAGGCUCACCAAGGCUAUGAUCUAUAGCUGGGAUGAGAGGAUGAUCAGCAACACUGGGACUGAGACACGGCCCAGACUCCUACGGGAGGCAGCAGUGGGGAAUCUUGCGCAAUGGGCGAAAGCCUGACGCAGCCAUGCCGCGUGAAUGAUGAAGGUCUUAGGAUUGUAAAAUUCUUUUACCAGGGACGAUAAUGACGGUACCUGGAGAAAAAGCCCCGGCUAACUUCGUGCCAGCCGCCGCAGUAAAAC
rnacentral:rRNA from 1 species